rnacentral:lncRNA from 1 species
UCCACUUGAGUAGAUCUCUAUAAAUGCUCUCAUGCUACCUUUAUUUGCUUUAGUAUAUGUCUAGGUUUGGAGUAGUUUCAUUUAUCUCUUAAAUAAGCAUGGUGCUUAGUUUAGGAAUGAUGAUCUUACUUCCAAGGGAUUUUAAAUUAAGAAUGGUUCUUAGGUUAAAAUGCCCUCCUAAAUCAAAUUAGACAUGGUGCCUAGGUUGAUUUUUGAGCCGAUAGUAUGCUAUAGUAGAUAUUGGAUAUUUUGUUGGACUAACCCCUGC